GAACCAGUACCGUGAGGGAAAGGUGAAAAGCACCCCGACGAGGGGAGUGAAACAGUUUCUGAAACCGGACGCCUACAAGCAGUGGGAGGCCCCUUGAGGGCUGACCGCGUACCUUUUGUAUAAUGGGUCAUCGACUUAGUCUGACUAGCAAGCUUAAGCCGUUAGGUGUAGGCGCAGCGAAAGCGAGUCUUAAUAGGGCGAAUAGUUUGUUGCAUUAGACCCGAAACCAAGUGAUCUAGCCAUGAGCAGGUUGAAGGUUGAGUAACAUCAACUGGAGGACCGAACCCACUAACGUUGAAAAGUUAGGGGAUGACCUGUGGCUGGGGGUGAAAGGCCAAUCAAACCGGGAGAUAGCUGGUUCUCCCCGAAAGCUAUUUAGGUAGCGCCUCGGACGAAUACCAUUGGGGGUAGAGCACUGUUUGGGCUAGGGGGUCAUCCCGACUUACCAACCCUUUGCAAACUCCGAA
rnacentral:rRNA from 1 species